UUAACUGGGUCCAUGCUGCUUUUGCUAGAAAAUUAAGGUUCGCCAUAUUUUUGUAUCUUUUAAAUGUUAAUUUUAAUUAAUUGUGAUAAUUUUAAUUGUUGUUUUAUAUAAAUAUGGAUUUAUUUAUAACUGGUGAUCUAGUGGCUGUUCAAUUUAUAUCUGUACAUCUCGUUUUAAGUUGUGUUAUUGUGCCUUUUGGUUGAUCUUUUUUUGAGACUCGACUCUAGUGAAAAUUGGGUUCAAAUUUAGUUGAAACGUUGGUCAUUCUGAUUGUUAUUAAUUGAUCACAAGCGAUGAGCAAGAUGUUUUAAUUGUUAAUUAGUUGGUAUGGCUGGUUAAUCUGUUCAAAUUUGGUCUAGUUCGUGAUAUAUAACAAUUAUUGGUGAUAACUGGUCGUCCCAAAGUUAAGUCAAUGUAAAUUGUAUCACGAAAAGGGCCUUAAGCUGAGUUUAAAGUAAAGUAAAGAUAUUGAAGUAAACAAGUUUGUUAACUUGAAAUUUACUUUGAUUACCUUAAACCCUAAUUGGUAACCGCAUAAUAUAAAGGAUGGGAAAGCAUAAUCAAAUAAAAUAAUCACCCAACAAUUGGCAAAUCAUCAAGGAGAAGCAAAAGAAGGAAUGCUGGAAGAUUCAUGAUAUGAUUUGGAGAAAAGAAAAGAGAAGCUUUUGAAAAGGAAACAUCAACAACAUCAACAAGUAACCAAAUUGAAUAAACCCAAAUUAACAUGAAAGAGGGAAUAUUAAUGGAAGAAACAACAAUCAAUACUAAUCUGAUCUAAUUCAAUGAUUGACCACCCAAAGGUGUUUCAAAAAAGCCGGAUUAAAAGCCAAACUUAUUGGAAACAAACAUACAUUUUUCAAAAUUAUCAUCUUAUUAACCCAAAAGUCUGAUGAACACAAAGAAGGAAAAGUAAUAACAUAAGCUCAGCUUCUGUUAAUAACAAAAUUAUCCUUUAAUGAUCACCAUUAAAUGGUUAAUAUAAAGGCGCGCCCAAUCAUCCCUCAUCAUAAUCAUCCUUUUUUUUAAAAAAAGUAAAGAAAUGGGAAACGAAAAUUCUUUCAUCUUCAUCAUGACUUGUACUUCACCAACUUUACACUGUUCAUCAUGUUGUCUUCAUUGGUUUGACUAAUAGCUCGGAUGUGUAUUACUAAUGAUCUAGUUGGUAAAAGCUGAUUAUUUCAACUGCCAUGUUAUACAAUGUUUACUGAUGGACAGCCAAGUCAAUAAUGUUACACUUGGAGAAAAGUAUUUCAACAAUUUGCCUUCAACUCAUUUUUUUGAAACAAUGUCUCUGGAUCAAUAUUUAAACAUCAACUUGGAGCCAACAGUAUUGUACAGCUUCAACAACAACAAGCCACUUCGUAAAUGAUGAUAAAACUGUUUCUCUUCCUUUCUCUUCAUAAUCAUCUUCUUUUUAGUUGUUCCUUUUUUGUUCGCUUCUUGCUUUUGGCCAACUUCAUUGAAAUUGAUUUGUCCCAUUGAUCUUCAUCUAUUUUCAUCUUACAUGAUUAAUAGUAACACACACUCACAGUGAGACAGAGGAAAAUUGUUACCAAUGGAAAAUAAUCAAUCAACUUUAACCUUCCUUCCUCACAUUCAUUGCUCACCUUUUUUUUAACAGUCUUCAAUUGUAAAUAUAAAUACAAAUGUAUUAUUGUAAUGUUAAAAUGGCUUAUUGCCGCACCAAAACAUCCCAAUGGUUAAUGUUUACAUUUAAACAAAACCAUUGAAAGUCAAAAGCAGAAGAAAAAUGAAAACAUUGACCUUCCCAAAUAUCAACCUUGAUUCAAUAUAACUUGAAUAUUCCUUCUGUUCUGACCUUAGGUCAUUAAUUUUGCCAUCCCUAUCAGCACUCACUCACACACACUUUACAAUGUGUUAACAAUGUUUAAUCACUAAAGGAGAGAAGAAGAAGAAGAAAACAGAAAAUUCAAAUGUUUACUUCUCAACCUAACCAUUUUUACCCUUCUACACUCUCUAAUUAACCCUCGACAAAUGAUACAUUUGUACAUUAAGUUUGCUCAUUUGAUUGUAAAUGACGAUCAAAUCACAUAUGAAGUGUAAAAUGAGCAAACAUUGAAAGUUAUACUCUGACAAUAAUGGCUUAUUUUGUCCAUUGAAAUGUAACACAAAAUAGGAAAUGAUUAUUGAUUCAUAUUAAUCCAUAUUAACAUUAAAUUAUCAUGCCAAUGAGAGAGUCUAAUAACAAUGAAAA